rnacentral:lncRNA from 1 species
GGGCUCUUCAGUGACAUUUUGAGGGUUUGAUUAGUUAUCCCUCAUGAGUGGCAUUGUGUACUGCAGCGAUCUUGUGCCUAUGGCAUCUAUCACUUCUCGUCUUCACACGAGAGGCAGUAUGUGCCAGCGGCUAGCUUGUACCUACAGUAUCUUGCACUUUCGAUGUCAUUCUAAGGGUCUGAUUAGUUAUCUUUCUGAAAGUCCCCUUAAGGGUCUCUCUCUGCUUCUCUUACAACUCGGGCUCCACCUCAGAG